GCGGAGAUGUCGACUUGGAGGUUGUGCCCUUGAGGCGUGGCUUCCGGAGCUAACGCGUUAAGUCGACCGCCUGGGGAGUACGGCCGCAAGGUUAAAACUCAAAUGAAUUGACGGGGGCCCGCACAAGCGGUGGAGCAUGUGGUUUAAUUCGAUGCAACGCGAAGAACCUUACCUGGUCUUGACAUCCACGGAAGUUUUCAGAGAUGAGAAUGUGCCUUCGGGAACCGUGAGACAGGUGCUGCAUGGCUGUCGUCAGCUCGUGUUGUGAAAUGUUGGGUUAAGUCCCGCAACGAGCGCAACCCUUAUCCUUUGUUGCCAGCGGUCCGGCCGGGAACUCAAAGGAGACUGCCAGUGAUAAACUGGAGGAAGGUGGGGAUGACGUCAAGUCAUCAUGGCCCUUACGACCAGGGCUACACACGUGCUACAAUGGCGCAUACAAAGAGAAGCGACCUCGCGAGAGCAAGCGGACCUCAUAAAGUGCGUCGUAGUCCGGAUUGGAGUCUGCAACUCGACUCCAUGAAGUCGGAAUCGCUAGUAAUCGUGGAUCAGAAUGCCACGGUGAAUACGUUCCCGGGCCUUGUACACACCGCCCGUCACACCAUGGGAGUGGGUUGCAAAAGAAGUAGGUAGCUUAACCUUCGGGAGGGCGCUUACCACUUUGUGAUUCAUGACUGGGGUGAGUCAAAAGGGGGGGAAAAAAAAAGGGGGCCCGCCCCGUUUUGACCCACUGG
rnacentral:rRNA from 1 species